rnacentral:lncRNA from 1 species
UCGGACCGGUGUCACUGUGGUCCUGCUGUCUCUGAGACCAGAUCAAUGUCACUGCGGUCCUGCUGUCUCUGAGACCAGAUCAAUGUCAGUGUGGUCCUGCUGUCUCUGAGACCGGACCUGCGUCACUGUGGUCCUGCUGUCUCUGAGACCGGACCGGUGUCACUGCGGUCCUGCUGUCUCUGAGACUGGAUCUGUGUCUCUGCGGUCCUGCUGUCUCUGAGACUGGAUCUGUGUCACUGCGGUCCUGCUGUCUCUGAGACCGGACCGGUGUCACUGCGGUCCUGCUGUCUCUGAGACCGGACCGGUGUCGCUGCUGGAACGGGAGCUGCUCUCAGUCAGAGCUGAGGGAGAGAGAGGAGCAGGAGGGAGAGAGGGAGAGAGGCGGUUUGUUCAGAAGGUAGCUUUAUUGGGUGAAGAGCUCCCUGCCCACACGCCCGCAGUCGCCUCUCUCUGCCGGUCCCGUUACGGGACAGUCCGGUGUGGGGAGGGGGAUCUGUACAGCGCGACAGGGCGGGGCGGGGCGGGGCGGGGGGCAGGGAGGAAUGCAGUCAGGACGGGGAGCGGAGGGAGAGGUCGGGACGAGACUCUACUCCUCCUUCUCCUCUCCGUGUGUGAUGACGUAGCAGAUGUUCUUGUAGUCGACAUUGCCGGCCACAUCUGGAGGGAAGGCAGUCCAGAGGUUCUUCAUCUGAGAGAGAGAGAGAGAGAGAG